rnacentral:rRNA from 1 species
GACGAACGCUGGCGGCGUGCUUAACACAUGCAAGUCGAGCGGAAAGGCCCUUUCGGGGGUACUCGAGCGGCGAACGGGUGAGUAACACGUGAGUAAUCUGCCCUUCACUUGGGGAUAACCUCCGGAAACGGUGGCUAAUACCCGAUACGACCAUUCCUCGCAUGAGGUGGUGGUGGAAAGUUUUUCGGUGGGGGAUGUGCUCGCGGCCUAUCAGCUUGUUGGUGGGGUAAUGGCCUACCAAGGCUUCGACGGGUAGCCGGCCUGAGAGGGUGACCGGCCACACUGGGACUGAGACACGGCCCAGACUCCUACGGGAGGCAGCAGUGGGGAAUAUUGGACAAUGGGCGGAAGCCUGAUCCGGCAACGCCGCGUGAGGGAUGACGGCCUUCGGGUUGUAAACCUCUUUCACCUGUGACGAAGCGAAAGUGACGGUAGCAGGAGAAGAAGCACCGGCCAACUACGUG